GUGCUAGGUUUCUAGGUGCUCUAGGCAAAGUUUCACUCUAUUGCCCCUGCUUACCCAAGUCCAUGUUCUGUAGUUAUACGCAGUGCCGUUUCUAGCGGUGGGCGAGCCGUGCAGGAGCGCUCGGGGAGAGGGAGGAGAGGUGAUAAGGAAGGAGGAGGCGGCCGGCGUGAGGGACGUGAGUUGGCGGUACCCGAAGAGCGGGAAGUUAUAACUGAGGUGAUCUGGGCUCAUCACUCUGCGAACUCGCCAAUAGUGCCAGUGGUGGCUGGGGUGACACUGCCGAUAGUCUUCGCCUGGGUGGGGAUGAUGGAGGUGCAGAAUCAGAGCCAAGACGCCGUGUCUUAGUUGGCCUCCUGGGUAAGUGUCCCAAGCCCUGUGAUGGGCGCCUUACAGGAGGUCGGCUUCCAGAAGCAGAACCUAGGUGCAAAAUUUAGCAUUAUUAUUUUGUACUUCUAUGUGUUUUCAGAAUAUGUGACUACAGUGAAGACUUACCUGCAAUACCACCAUCAUCCUGACUGGUCUGAGGCCUGUCUGGGCGGCUGGUCUGUGUGACUGUGGAAAAAGUGACCCCAACAUUAUUACCAUGUUUUUUGUCAAAUGAACCAGUGAAAACCAUUAAUGUACUGUAAGCAUCUAUUUGGUUUGGUUUCCAUAAAAAAAAUAAGCUUAAGAGCUUCUAUAUUCAUGAUUUUUAGUUGAAUAUCAAAAUGUACUUGAUGUGGCACACAAUAAAGUUUAUACCUAAAAGA